GAAAGAUAAUCAAUUUUUGAAAUAAGAUUAUAAAAAGAAAUUGUAAAGAGGCCUCCUCGCGCGAUGUUUCUAGCGCUUCCGGUGCACGUAUUCACGUAUGGAGGACGAGGAUGUUCCAGAUUCGGUGCACUUAGAGAUUCGAAAGUCGGUUAGCAAUGUGAAAUUGAAAUUAAAAGGGAUCGGGUUUCAAAGGGGUCAUCGAGCGACGUCGGUUCACGAGGCUCGAUAAUCGAUUUACGUAAAGUCAAACUGCGAUCCUGGUGAACGAUAUCGUAUUGGAAAAUCGCGGCCGAUCGAUUAACGAUCUCGCUUUCUAUUUCCAAGAUGGGCAAAAAUAUUAGGCCCAUUCGUUAAAUCUAUCUAAUAAGGAAUUAUUCCGAUAUAUAAAGUCUUCCUUCCUCCGAUUCAUCGAGUUAUACGUUACAAGGCUUGUGCCUUGAAAAGGAUCUUUUCGAAUUAUAUUAACGAAAUCGUGUCAAUAGGGCACAAUUUACUACUUUUUCUAUAUUUCAUAUCAUUCCCGACAAUUUAUGCUCGAAAUUAGCCGAUCAUAUUUUCCCGAACUUCGCGACUUCAACUUGUUUCGUCGUAGUCUCCUCGUUUCAAAACUUCCAUCUUAAAUGUCGUAAAAUGAAGUUUCAACGCCUCGAAUAAACUUCGCUUUACGAUAUCGUCCUCGUGUUGUUUUCAUUAUAUAAAUCUCCCCCCUUCCUCCCUUAAAUCACAUCGAACAAUAUUCCCUCUCGUCCCUGCGAUCGCACAAAUAGCGAUCCUCACCUCGACUUCGUAAACUCGUUUGCAUAUUUUGUCCCCGUUCUACGUGGCGCCGUCGUAUCGGUUCACCUAAUUCUCCAAAUUCUGAGGUCGAAUAAUCCCCAACCAACCGAUGAUCGAUAUUUAUCCCUUAAUAUACCUGUCAGUGAAACUAAUUACACCGUCUACGUGCCACCCGCCAGUAAGUCGGGAAUUUUUGGCCGGGGUGGCCGCGCAACCUCGGCCAAGAAAUCUAUCAAAGUCAAGUUCUUUGCGGAAUCCGCUGAUUCCUCGUCAGGCGUCUGCUCGCUAAUGCGGUUACCGCAUAUAUACGAAUCAUCCUUCGUUUCCCCGUAUCGAGGUUCCUCCUCUGGUCCUAAGUUUAUCCAAUUUCCUCCCCCUCCAAUUUUUUAGCGAAUUGAGGGGGAAAUGCACGAGGUGUUAGGAAAAUAUCGACGAUUUUUUGGAUUUACGAAGGUUGAAAGUGCGGAGCAAAUUUUUAGGAAAAGAUUAAAAAAUACGAUGCAACGCGAGAAGAAUAAACAUUUAUCGUUUCGAUUUAACAGAGAGAAUAAAAUUCGUUCCCACGGUCUUCGAAGUACAACAAUAAACGUACGUUUAUCACGUGUUAAAUUCAUUGAGUACAAAACAUUGUUUAUAUACAUUUCCACCGAUAUAUACCAAUUCCCCCCGUCCAUAUGAGUCACGUAUAUCGAAUACGGACUACGCGUGUAAACAAAGUCGAGUAAAGUGUAUCGUUCAGUGUCUCGCCGAAUUUCUAACCGCUCGCGUGCUCCUGCUCGCUUUCCCCGUGGAAGAAUUCUUAUAAUCGCGUUUCCGGUCGUGUCGUGCGAUCAAGAUGGAGGAAAAGGAUUGACGGAGAGGAGAGGAAGGCGGCGAGCGUGUUAACGAAAGUGAAUCCCGUUUCUUCCGUUGCUGAGGAACCAACCUGGUCAGGCUUGAAAAUCUAACGGUGUCCCGUGUUAACGGUGGUCCAUCCAUGGAUCGUGCGAAGGCGUUACGAAGAAGAUCGGAGGAAGGAGCGAUCGAAGGCAGACAUCGAGAACGUCGAUGAUAUUCUUCGCAGCGGAGAUCAUCUUCGAUGUCGCUGUUCCGUUAAAUAUAGUGAAGUCGCGGUGUUAAAGUGUUGCUUGGUUAUACGUUUCCAUUUCUUUCUUUUGUCAUUUUUGCACGUGGGCUUCCGUUCGAUUUGGGUUGAAGAUUGGACGUCGUUUCUUGUAACUCGCAAUUUUUAUUCGCUUCUCAAUCUUCGUUUACACGAUGCACGAUUAAAAUGAGGCUCGUUCGUAUCGAGAUACGGGGAUUGAGAAAUAAAUAAUCACUCGGGAUCAGUUGUAGCGUUAUCGUGUAAUAAGGAACAAUGGUAUACACGAGUAAUUAAAGCACAAUUAAAAUAAUUAAAAUAGUGGAAUUUGUAAGUAAAUAAGUAAGUAAUGGGAACAGAUUAAAACAUUAUAAGUAAUUACAAGUAAGAUUUCAAAAAUGUGAAAAUUAACUUUUGCGUUUAACGUGUUGCUUUAUAUAUAUAAAAAAAAAAAAUUAACUCCGAGACUAAUUAAUUUUGAUUUCCAAACGGGAUAAUCGAUGCCGGAGAAACGUUGCACUUUCGAAUAAUAGAAUAAAAUUUUCGAUUCUAGGCUUUAAUUAAUCCGGUGUAUACCGAUGAUUCAUUUUUGACAAAUUUUUUUUUCUUCUUUUUAUUUCUCGGAUACAACAACAAGAUAUAUCCCAGAUCGUCGAACAAACGUGAUAUAUACAUAUAUAUAUUCAUCCCUUAAUGCGCGAGCGGAAUACAGCUGCGCGACAUUUCAACCUUUAUUUUCUCCCUUUCAAAAUUUGUCUCCGUUCGAUUCGGAAAUAGAUUAAAAAAUAGCGUGAAAUCGGUGCGGCCUAGUUUCUCGAUACGAGCUAGCCCAAGUAAACACAACGGAUUAUACAUCGUUACUCCCCAUCCAAGGGGGCCAGGGAAAACGUUUCCAAUCAGGAGUCAAUUACAGGCCAAUGAUGUCAUAGUCAUUAUUAGUGGUGCAAUUGCGCGGAAUGUCGGCCACUAAGUUAUGAAACUGCAAGAAUCUAUUCGCCGCCACGCGGUGGCCUGUAAUGUGGUACACUUUCUCCCGGGCAAGAUAAAUAUCUUGCGUGUGUAUGUGAGACGCCGGUGUUCUCUUUUAAAACGCGACUAUUUGCCAACGCUCGAUCGGGCUCCCAACGCGAAAACUCGAGCAACAGAAACUCUAGCCUCUUGUAUAACGAGAGGAUUUCCAUUUCUUUCCCCCUCUCUUUAUUGAUUUAUUGAAAUAUUUGUCGUUCCGUUUUUCUUCUUUCUUUUUUUUCCUUCUUUUUUAUCCCUGUUUCUCUGUUUGUCUCUUCCACCUAUUACUUUCUUCUCUCUUCUUUUUUUAUUUUUUUUCGAAUAAAGGGGAAGGGGAAAGAUUAGCGUCGGUGAAUCCGGGAUAGAUUUUUCUCGAUAAAAUAUAUGGGAAUUCGAUCGACACUCGCGGGUUAUUUGUUCUCCAAGCAUUCGAUAUAUAUGUAUAGAGAGAGAGAGAGCACGUUUGCUCGAUGAUACGGGCGUUUCGCUCGGAAUGUCAUGGAUUAUACUAUCAGAAACUAUCAUUUCGUGGAUUGUUCACGAUGGUUUGAUCUAUCGUUUACGCGUUCUAUUUUUUUCCCCUUCCCCUAUCUUCGGUGCGAUUGAUUAAAUCGAUCGAUACGUUUAGAUAAUAUUUUUUUAAAUAAAUAUCUGUAAAUA